CGGCGGACGGGUGAGUAACGCGUGGGUAACCUGCCUCAUACAGGGGGAUAACAGUCAGAAAUGACUGCUAAUACCGCAUAAGACCACGGUACCGCAUGGUACAGUGGUAAAAACUCCAGUGGUAUGAGAUGGACCCGCGUCUGAUUAGGUAGUUGGUGGGGUAACGGCCUACCAAGCCGACGAUCAGUAGCCGACCUGAGAGGGUGACCGGCCACAUUGGGACUGAGACACGGCCCAG
rnacentral:rRNA from 1 species